rnacentral:rRNA from 1 species
UAGACCGCCUGGGGAGUACGGCCGCAAGGUUAAAACUCAAAUGAAUUGACGGGGGCCCGCACAAGCGGUGGAGCAUGUGGUUUAAUUCGAUGCAACGCGAAGAACCUUACCUGGUCUUGACAUCCACGGAAGUUUUCAGAGAUGAGAAUGUGCCUUCGGGAACUGUGAGACAGGUGCUGCAUGGCUGUCGUCAGCUCGUGUUGUGAAAUGUUGGGUUAAGUCCCGCAACGAGCGCAACCCUUAUCCUUUGUUGCCAGCGAUUAGGUCGGGAACUCAAAGGAGACUGCCAGUGAUAAACUGGAGGAAGGUGGGGAUGACGUCAAGUCAUCAUGGCCCUUACGACCAGGGCUACACACGUGCUACAAUGGCGCAUACAAAGAGAAGCGACCUCGCGAGAGCAAGCGGACCUCAUAAAGUGCGUCGUAGUCCGGAUUGGAGUCUGCAACUCGACUCCAUGAAGUCGGAAUCGCUAGUAAUCGUGGAUCAGAAUGCCACGGUGAAUACGUUCCCGGGCCUUGUACACACCGCCCGUCACACCAUGGGAGUGGGUUGCAAAAGAAGUAGGUAGCUUAACCUUCGGGAGGGCGCUUACCACUUUGUGAUUCAUGACUGGGGUGAAGUCGUAACAAGGUAACCGUAGGGGAACCUGCGGUUGGAUCACCUCCUUACCUUAAAGAAGC